UGAAGAGGGUGAAAAAAAACAGGGCAAGAGCAACCCCUCCACUGAAAUGCACUGGGAAGGGGGACUUAGAUACUAACACAAGUUCAAUUCAAGAAGCAUUUAUUGAACCGUCCUCAUGAGCCAGGUCAGGGUGUUCAGCACUGAGCGUGUCAAGACGAAGACACAUAGCCUCUAAGUGUCCACCAUCUACAAUAGCUAAUGUUUAAUUGUCCUUAAAAGUUGAAGAAUGUUGACUGGAUUGUCUGCAAAUCAGUCAUGUGAGUAGUGUUAAUCUAAUGAAGAAGAAUCUUAAAAGACAAAUUCUCCAAAUGCUGCUGCUCCUGCAUCCUGCUGCUCUACCUGCUGUGGGGAGGAGUGACCACUCCCUGAUAUGCUGCAGAUGCAAUUGAGUAGCAGCUUCAUUCCACAUUUCUCCAACAUCUUUCAUGGUGAGGUCAAGAGCAUAUUCAAAACCAUGUGUGGCUCAGUCCAACUGGAGAGACCAAGUCAAAGAGCCUCAUUUCCAUAAGGUAGAAUCUUGUCCAUACCUCUUCACUCACAACACAGACCAAUCUUGCAGAAGCCAGGAGGUUCUGAGUAAGGUCUGCAUAAAGAAAUAAUACCAUAGUUUCCAAUUGGCCAGUUUCGUUCUCUAACCAAACAGCUGCUGCCUGCUUACUGAGUGUGCAUGCCCACGCACACUCACACUGACUGUAACUCACCAUCAGCUGUAACCAGGCAGUUCUCUCAAGCCAUCUGCAGCUGGGCAAAAACCUAGAAUGAUUAAGUCAUUGAUAGAACACCACUUUCCUAAAAAUGGCAAUACUUAAAUACAUCUAAUCCUGAUCAAUACCUUGAUAUUCUAUAUCAUACAUUUAAAAAUCAAGUUGCCUAAUUAUUUUAAAUAUAUUCCAA
rnacentral:lncRNA from 10 species